UCAAUACAGAAUUGCUUUCAUGUUAAUUGAUGUUGGAACCUGGAAGUGCUCAUUCAGUUGUGUAGGUGAUGAUGAUAUUUGGAUUGCUUUCUCAAAAUAUAUAGUUUAAACGAUGGUCAUAACGUCAUUUAUUUAAUUGAGUUCACUAUUACUCUACGUAAUUUCAGGUUGCAUAAUGGAAAGUGAGGUAUCACACUAUGAUGGGACAACUUGAUUUAGUUUAGUUCCUUUUGUUCCUAUAAUAAUUCAUAGGUAAUUGAGGAUUUCAUUUAUUCUAAUAGGAAACUUAACAAGGAACAGAAUAAUGGAAGAUCAAGAGGGUGAUUACAUCAAAGAUUUGUAGCUGUAAUUACAUAUGUAUCAGUUUCUAAUUUCACACUUUGUUCUUGGAUUCAUUUCUUUCUUCCCCCAAUUCCGUGACAUUUUUUUUAAUUUAUUCCAAGUCGAACUUUGCUCCAUGGUUUUUCCAUUCUUUGUUUCUCUGUAGAUUAAUAACUUUGGAUGUAUAAUCUGCUUACUGCAGUUAAAACAUAGGGGCCACAUCCACACGGACAAGGGGUUCCAUCUUCACCUGCUGCUCUAGAACCUGCUACUCUUGUUCCUCUUCAGCUUUUAAAGUCAAGUGGAACCAAAUGCAUAAUGGUUGGUGACCCAAAGCAACUUCCUGCAACUGUCCUCUCAAAUGUUGCGAGUAAAUAUCUUUACGAGUGCAGCAUGUUUGAACGUUUACAAAGGGCAGGGCAUCCUGUUAUCAUGCUUACUGAGCAGGUACAUAGUUUGCUACUGGA